CAGAGAUCUUGCACGAACAGAAGAUGAUGAUGGGACACCAAUAGAUUUGGCAAAACAUCUCUGCCAUGUAGAAAAGUUUUUCAGAGAGACCAUUCAGAGCCAUUCUCUUGAAG